CCGUCUAGGGACUGCCUAGCCAGUGCAUUUUCUCUGUGGUGAACACCACGACCGGUGGAACUGCCAGUCUGCUGUAGUCAAGUCGUGUUCGGUAGGUCCUUGUGGCCAACUGGAUGCGAUCACAGGCAAACUCAGUAAACGGCGUAGAGGUGUUUCGGCACUUCUGCGUGUUAUCGGCUACUGGUUGUCAACGGGCCUGCCUAGUGAUUGUUGUAACCGUCACGGGGUGGCCCGGUGGACUAUGGUGGUAAGAAAAACUGUGCAGGGCACCGGGUUUAUCGGCCUCAAUUGCGCCCCGUGCACACGUUACAAGUGGAGUGGGGUGCCGUUGCUGCCUGCCUGUUGUUGGG
rnacentral:rRNA from 1 species